UCAUAUUUCCUCCUUGUAUGGUUUUAAUGUUUCAAAAUUUGUUUAUGUCAUGUACUUAAAGGUAGUACAAACGUCACACGGAUUUUGUAGGAGCUAUGUUUUGAGUUUUAUCUUUUCCUAGUACAGUGACGUGAAAUAUGAAAAUGUAGUGGGACGCCUCAGGGCCAGUUAGCUUUAGUUCCCAAUUAGCCAUGCCCCAAACAGCUAAACCACUAUACCCUAGUAUGCACUUCAUGGGUAAGAUUGUUGGUAAUCUAUGCUGUUCAGAAAGUUAGGUGUGUUAAAUACAUUUUCAAUUUACAAUAUUUUCAACUGAUUAUGUGGUUGUCACGAUAUGAUCUCAUUGUAAGAAGAGGGGCGUCUGUCUCAGAAUUCCUGUUUUACCUACUCAGGUCUUCAGGAUUCUUGUCUCAUAAAAUUCAGUGUCUUCAUCUCUAAAAUAACAAGUAAUGAAGAAAGUAAUGAAGAAAGAAUUGAGGAAAAUCUGGAAUUUUGCACAAAAGACACAUGAGCAUCCUGCAAGCCAGCACUUGUGCACAAUUCACUUUGUGUGUGGAAGCCAAGAGCGCUACUGGGGAGGCUGGCUGUCAGGUGACUAACUGAGGGAAUACGAAAGACAUGGGGACAAAGGAAUAGGCUUCCACACUAAAAUCACUUCCUAAAUCCUUCAGGUCCCCUAGAACUCGGUUUUGUUUCUUACAGGGUGAUCGAGGGGCACCUCUGGUGUGCCGUCUCCAACAGAAGAACACCUGGGUGCCGUUGGGAAUAUUGAGUCACUUUGAUGAACAUUGCAAAAGGCCCUAUGUUUUCAGUCGAGUGAGCCCUUUCAUUGCCUGGAUCCAGGGAGUAACAAGGCACAGCCGUGCACCCUGGUCUCUUCAAGGGCCCA
rnacentral:lncRNA from 1 species